rnacentral:lncRNA from 1 species
GCCGAUCCACUCUUCAUGGGUCAUCGAAUUCAUGCACACAACCAAGGGGGUUCACUUAUAAAACCCAUCCUGGCAGCUUUGUAUCACACUUUUGAAUAUUGAGAGAAUUGAAAUGCUGUUGAAGCUUUUUCUCCCAUCGAAAGUCACUCCUUGUGCUUCUUUCCCUUCUCCUCUAGCUUCCUUCCUCAAGAGGGCUUUCUGAGCUAGAUUCACUUACGACUUGAAGCACUUCAUCCACCC